UUUGCAAAAGAAAGCAUGACAGUGCUGAAGUGUGGUGCGUUUUUCGCCCUUGGGUGUUUCCUGUCGUACUACCUGGGUCUGUCGUGCACCGUGACCACCCUUGUCGUAUUCGGGGUGUACCUUGCAACGGGGGGAUGGCGAUUUACCUGGGUCGUUAUAAACACCCUCCCUAGAGACUUGAAGGCUCUCCAAGUUUUGAUAAAACUCAAACUUCAAACAAAGAAAUACAUUGCCAAUGAAACCACAAUAGCUGAUUUGUUCUCAAAGACAGCUGCCAAGUACCCAAAUAAAGACUGCAUAUUGUUUGAGAAGCAAAAAUGGACAUACAGAGAUGUGGAGAUUUAUGUGAAUCGUGUCGCCAACUAUUUUCAAGAGGAAGGCUACCAAAAGGGAGAUGUGGUGGCAUUGCUGAUGGAGAAUCGACCUGAAUACGUAUGUUUCUGGCUGGGUCUGUCCAAAAUAGGAGCUGUAGCGGCUCUAAUCAACUAUAACCUCAGGAAUCAGCCACUAGCUCACUCUGUCAAAGCGGCCGAGUCCAAAGGCAUUGUGUUCGCAGGAGAUAUGUCACUUGGUAAAUAUAAUACGACCAAAUGUUGACAAGAACAGUAAAAGGUUGAAUAAAGUAGUUCAUGAACUAUGAAUUUUCUUGACUACUUGUUUUAAAUUUUUUUUAAGCUUUGGAAGAAAUAAUGCCAAGUUUGUCCAGAGAUUUAAAGCUUUAUUGUAUUGGAAGUAUGGCUAGUUCAGGAAUUUCACCUAUUUAUAUGGAUCCAAUUCUACAAAAGAGUCCAGACUUCCCUCCUAGAAAAGUCAGGGUAAAGUUUACAGAUAAGCUUUUUUAUGUAUUUACAUCUGGAACAACAGGUCUUCCAAAGGCAGCUAUUAUAAGCCAUUCAAGGUUCAACUACAUGACAGUGGCUGUGAACCAGUUUAUGAACCUCACUGACGAGGAUGUACUCUAUGAUUGUCUGCCCCUGUAUCACACGGCUGGGGGAGUGAUUGGGGUUGGUCAGAUGAUCAUAGCGGGGACAACCCUGGUAAUUAAGAAGAAGUUUUCAGCCAGUCGAUUCUGGGAUGACUGUGUUGAGUACAAGUGCACUGCUGGUCAGUACAUCGGAGAAAUCUGUCGAUACCUCCUGGCCCAGCCCGUCAAACCAGCUGAGACCCAGCAUAAGGUCAGGGUCAUGUUUGGGAACGGCCUGAAACCUCAGAUUUGGGCGGAAUUCCAGAAGAGAUUCGGAGUGGCACAGAUGGGAGAAUUCUACGGAGCCACCGAGGGAAACUGUAACACUAUUAAUCCUGACAACAGGGUUGGAGCAGUGGGUUUCACAACAAUGAUUGCCCCCGCUUUAUACCCUAUUACACUGAUCAAAAUUGAUGAGAGAACAGGAGAGCAUAUAAGAGACCGCAACGGUGUGUGUAUCAGGGCCAAACCAGGUGAGCCUGGAGAACUGGUGGGUAAAAUUGUAAAAGGCGAUGCCCUGCGAGAAUUUGACGGCUAUGUCAAUAAACAGGCAACUGAUAAGAAAGUGUGCUCUGAUGUUUUCAGAAAGGGAGACCAAGCUUUCCUAACAGGUGACAUACUGAUUAUGGACGAAUUUGGAUACUUUUAUUUCCGUGACAGAACGGGGGAUACCUUCCGCUGGAAGGGAGAGAAUGUCUCGACCAAUGAGGUGGAGGCUGUUAUAAGCAACAUCAUCAAACUGAAUGACGCUGUGGUGUAUGGAGUAGAAAUCCCAGGACUGGAAGGAAGAGCUGGAAUGGCAACCAUAGUGGAUGAAACUAACUCCUUAGAUCUGGACCACCUCCACUCGGCUCUUCAAAAGUCACUACCUGCCUAUGCGAAACCUCUUUUCAUUAGAAUAAAAAAAUCUGUAGAUACAACAGGCACCUUUAAAUUGAAAAAAGUAGAUUUGCGGAAAGAAGGCUUCGAUCCCAGCAUCGUAAAAGACCCUCUAUAUUGUUUGAUCUCUGGAAAAUACCAACCAAUCACAGAACAAGUGUAUAAUGAUAUAUGCAGCGGAAAAAUUCGACUAUAGACUGGUUGAAAGGUUUAUUUAUUGAGAGACUGGCACAAGUUAUGUUUAUGAAUAAAUGAUACUCAGAAAGGGCAGAUACUGUGUACAUGUUCUUUAUUUUCUGUCAAUUAUGGACGUGACAGUAUGUAACAUUAUAUCAGACAUCAAAAUAAUGUGAAUUUGAAAGAUGAUAUUCUGACAAAUAUUUCGUGAAAAUCAGAAUUUUAUCUAGAUGUACACACUUUCAAGUUUUGAGAAAGGCUCGAAAUCAUUCAAAUCUUUGUACAAGAUAUCUAUAUCGUGAAUAUUUAUUGUUUUGGGUUGUACUGACUAGGGAAUGGAAUGUGAUACUUAAAGUUCCUCCUCUUUUUACCUGACCAUUCCUUGUUUUUAUUCCAAAUGCUGGUUAAAUGUGUCCUAAUCUCCUAAUAGAGUUGUACAUUCAUGUAUUUUAAGUUUACAUGUAUUAAAUCAUGACUAUGAAUUGAUUUGGCAGCAGGCUAAAGCCUAUAUGAACUUGUCUAUUUAAUGUCUGAAAUCAAAUUACAUGUAUGACAAAACCAUUGGAUUUAUUGAUUGUUGUUGAAAAUUCAUUGAUCUUUUAAUUGGUACAUCUGUAAAUGAAAAAUCAAAUAAAUUAUUCAAUGCCAG
rnacentral:misc_RNA from 1 species